UGGGGAAUUUUGGACAAUGGGGGCAACCCUGAUCCAGCAAUGCCGCGUGUGUGAAGAAGGCCUUCGGGUUGUAAAGCACUUUUGUCAGGAACGAAACGGCUCUGGUUAAUACCUGGAGCUAAUGACGGUACCUGAAGAAUAAGCACCGGCUAACUACGUGCCAGCAGCCGCGGUAAUACGUAGGGUGCAAGCGUUAAUCGGAAUUACUGGGCGUAAAGCGUGCGCAGGCGGUUUUGUAAGUCUGAUGUGAAAUCCCCGGGCUCAACCUGGGAAUGGCAUUGGAGACUGCAAGGCACACAGGGGAUA
rnacentral:rRNA from 1 species